rnacentral:rRNA from 1 species
UACGGAGGGUGCAAGCGUUAUCCGGAAUCACUGGGUUUAAAGGGUGCGUAGGCGGCUAAAUAAGUCAGAGGUGAAAGUUUGUCGCUUAACGAUAGAACUGCCUUUGAUACUGUUAAGCUUGAAAGUAGGUGAGGUUGGCGGAAUGUGACAUGUAGCGGUGAAAUGCAUAGAUAUGUCAUAGAACACCGAUUGCGAAGGCAGUCGGCUAACCUGACUUUGACGCUGGGGCACGAAAGCGUGGGUAGCGAACAGG